UUUUGGCACUGGGGGUGCCGGUAGAGGCCGGCUGAGAGUAAGACCCGUUUUUAGUCUUUGACCCUUUUAUACCUGAUCUGGUUCGUACCAGCGGAGGGAAGUGUAGAUGGCUUUUA
rnacentral:ncRNA from 2 species